UUUCGGAAGGUCCUUAGCGGUCCGCCCCUUCGGGGAGCGGGUCGCUGGCCUCCUAUGUUCCUAACGGUCCUCAUCCGCGAGGGUGGGGAAUCAACCGCUAGGAUCGUUUACUUUGAGGAAAUUAGAGUGUUCAAAGCAGGCGUAACUCGCCUCCGAAUACGUUAGCAUGGGAUAAUGGAAUACGACUUCGGUCUUGUUUCGUUGGUUUCGCUUGGCUGAAGUAAUGAUUGAUAGGGACAGUUGGGGGCAUUAGUAUUUAGUUGUCAGAGGUGAAAUUCUAGGAUUUACUAAAGACUGACCAAUGCGAAAGCAUUUGCCAAGGAUGUUUUCAUUAAUCAAGAACGAAAGUAGGGGGAUCGAAGACGAUCAGAUACCGUCGUAGUCUCUACCGUAAACUAUGCCGACCAGGGAUCCGGAGAGUUUGCAUGGAUGACUCCCCGGGCACCUUGUGAGAAAUCAUAAGUGUUUGGGUUUUGGGGGGAGUAUGGUCGCAAGGCUGAAACUUAAAGGAAUUGACGGAAGGGCACCACCAGGAGUGGAACCUGCGGCUUAAUUUGACUCAACACGGGGAAACUUACGAGGUCAGGACACUGUGAGGAUUGACAGAUUGAAAGCUCUUUCUU
rnacentral:rRNA from 1 species